CCUGAGGCACUGCAGGGACUGUGCCUCUGAGGCCACCAGCAACUCCCGCUCCCUGCUGCAGCAGGAGGACGUCACGGCCAAAGUGAUGCACCAGCUCCGCAUCAUCCGGCACUUGCGCCAGGUGCCUGAGGCACUGCAGGGGAUGUGCCUCUGAGGCCAUCAGCAACUCCCGCUCCCUGCUGCAGCAGGAGGACGUCACGGCCAAAGUGAUGCACCAGCUCCGCAUCAUCCGGGACUUGCGCCG